UUCUAAGAAGAAAUCAGGACACAGACACACAGGAAAGACCACGUGAGGACACGGGGAGGACAGUCACCUGCAAGCCAAGGACAGGGGCCUCAUAAAAAACCAACCCUGCCAAUACCUUCAUCUUGACUUCUGACCUGUGAGGAAGUAAUUUCUGUCUUUAACCCCCGCAGUGUGUGGUCUUCACAGCAGCCCAAGCUGACCAGGACAGUGUUCCCAGGGUUCACCGAGGCGGUGCCCUGCCCUGGGAUGUCCACCGAGGAAACCCCACCGUCAGCUCCAAAGGGGGCCACUGCUCUCCGUGCUGCCCACAUGGCAAAGGGUCGUCGCAGAGCUUCCCAUGGGCCCCUGUGACGAAGCUGCUACCAUUACACCCAUUUUAGAGCUGAAGAGACUGAGGCCUGGGGACGUGGCUGUCACCGGCAGAUGUGUGAUGUGUGCAGGACACGAACGUAGGGCUGUCUGGCCUUGGCCUGCCCUCUCUCUCCCCGCCUGGCCCCCCACAGCCUGCAAAGAAAGUGGCUUUCAUCACCUGUUGAGGGGGGCCCGAAAUAGGCCAAUCGGGCUUAAGGGAUGUGUGAAAGUCGCUGGCCAGCGGAGGUCCCCCUCGCUUCCUCUUUUUGUUUGUCAUGUUGAUGUUUUAUUUUGGGGUCCCCCAAGCCUCCAGUUGGGGCCGAGGUGGCAGCAGGGGACCCGCACGCUUCCACCUUGCAGCCUGGCUUUGAGGUGAAUGCACCCCUGGCCUGAGUCCACAGAAACCCCGAGUCACUCGGGCCUCCAUGAAGAUAAGCAGGCUUUGGGGAUCCCUCUGCAUGCCCCCUGCUCCCCACCUUCUGGCUGUGCUCCGUGCCCCCCUCCACACACCUCUCCUGAGUGUUUUCCUCGCGCCUGGCACCCUUGGAUCCCCACCUUCCCCAGCUGAGCAGGAAGGCUGGGAGCGGAGCUGCCUCCCACGCCUGAGUCCUGGGAGGACACUGGGGGGCCCGCCCCUCCCCCCAAGGCCCUGAUGGCGCUUCCCCAUCCCAAGAGUGACAGGCUGUGGGAUUCCA